ensembl:lncRNA novel transcript
UGGAAGAGAAAGAAAUGAAAUGUGGUGAACAAUUGCACCUGUCUAAUAUCCUAGUUUUUUUGUGCUUCUAAGGGUGUGUCUAAUGGAAACAUUAUUUACCACAUGUGUCCUGGUGCCAAAAAGGUACAAAACAAUUGUUCUAGUAUAAGGAUAGAGAUAGUUCUUCUAGCAUAAGGAUAGAGAUAUUUCUUCUAGCAUAAGGAUAGAGAUAUUUCUUCUAGCAUAAGGAUAGAGAUAUCUCUUCUAGCAUAAGGAUAGAGAUAUUUCUCUAUCCUUAUACUUACUGGGAAAGAAAGCUCCCCUCCUCUUUUUUUUGUCUGGGUCUAAAUCAACUUUUUGGUGGCUGGUCAAAAUCGCUUUCCUUUCAGCCACUUGAAUGCUGGUUCAAUUAGGCCCUUUCUCCUCAGGGCACCUAUCCCUUAUUAAAAAAUCACCUAAGUUGCCCUCGAUGUUUAACAAUGCCAUCCACUUCUAAUGACUUCUUACUGUUUUUUUUUUUCUCCUGAAAUUCUCUAGCUUUCUUUAUAUGUUUGCCUCUUUGCUUUCAUUCACUGUGGCUUUUUAUUUUGAUUCCUCCUCUGAGCAUCAACUUCUGGUCCACUGUCUCAAAUCAAUUCUAGUAUAUCUACCAACUAAUUACAUUUCAAUCCCUACAAUGUCAGGUACCUUGGGCUUUCUCAAAUUACUUUUGAUUUGGGGAAAGAAUUUAAAAAAAUGUUUCCACUGCAAUUAUUUAAUGAUUCAACCUUCAUAGAAACUUAAACUUCAGAGGAGCAAAUAGCCUCAACAGAGGACUAAUUAAGCUUCAUGUUACCCUGGCGAAGUAGGGAGAAUAAGUACGCAGUGAGGCUGCAAUCAUUUCCUCUGAAGUUCGAUUAAAAGCCAAGUUUUAAAAUGUUAGACCAGUGCUAAUCUGCAUGACUGCUUCGGGUUUCAUUUGAGAAAGAAUUGUGGUUGCAAACAUUAACACUAAAAUAUGUGAAUCUAUUUCCAUAAUCAGGGCCCUACGGGAUGGAGCCUAGAUUUAAUAUGGUUUUGGUGCUUACGUGUUUUCCACUACAUUGAUUAAUACUGUCCUCUCAUGUGGAACCCAAUCAGGAGCAACCUGCCAGAGGACUAUUUUCUAUAAAUUUAAGCUGAACUAAUAUCUGUGGAAAUCUUAAGACUAAAGAAGAGUUGAUGAAUAUACUACAAUUAAAGUUGCCUUGUAAAUUGAAGAAUGAAGCAGAGGAUAAUGAACAUAUUGAAAUGAUUCCACAUGUUUUAUGCAUGACACAUUUGUAAUUAAAACGGAUCCUGAAGCUACUCCCACUAAGUGCUCGGUACUGGGCUAGGACAUGCUGCUCACUAUUGUGAGUGAUCGCAGCAACUCAGUUUUGAAUAUUUAUAUAUGUUGAGGUGAAGGAUCUUCCUUGACUACAUCUGAGGAGUUGUGGAAUCCUCAGAAGUAAGUCCUUCUAACAACACACUACAGUAUGAUGCGUUUCUGAUCCAAGCUGCUGUGAAUCCAUGUCAGGAGAAACCUUCAGUUGUGUUUUAAUAAAUGAAAACACAGUAGGGCUGAGAAAUCUGCAGCUACCUGGAAAAAUAAACUCCUUCCCCCUUGGAAACUGCUAAUUUCUUAAAUAUCCACAUUUGCAUUUAGUUUUGGGAAUUUAUAUUGUUUCAAUAAAAAUGAGCAUAUUUGGUU